AGGGUAUUAGUUAAAUUAUAACAAUUAUUUUGCAUUUAAUUAUUAAAAAAUCAAUUUUUUUAUACCUUA
rnacentral:tRNA from 1 species